UGCCGUGUGUAAGUAUUUGAUACAUACAUAGAUGUGUAUGAAGUUAUGUGUGAGUAAAAUUAUGAAAGAAAAGUCACAUGCAUAACCUCUGCAAAAUAAUACUGUCAGUGUAAAUGUCGGUGAUAAAAAAAGAUAAAUACAAAUAAUAGAAUGGUGCAGUGUUGCGUUCCAAAAUGUAAGAACAGGUCCGAUAGCCAAAAUUGGAAAAAAACCAGCAAUGUGGACAAAAAUCGAAAAAUUACAUUUCACAACAUUCCAAAAAAUAAUACUAAUCGCUAUUUGUGGGCCGAUAUCUUAAAUCUUCCACCACAUAUUCCAAAAAGUGCACGUAUUUGCUCUGAUCAUUUUUCAAAGGAAUCUUUCGAUCAGAUAAAUGGAUUAUUAACGUGAUUAAGGCCAAAUGUUUUGCCAUUGAAUGAAUGUGAAAAGCAUAUAGAUACGGAAAAAAGAAAGAAUGAUUCCUUCAUUGUAUGCCCACAACCAUCAACAACAGAUAAGGAAAUAAUAACAUCGAUGUAACCAUGUACAGCAGAGAAAGCAACAAUGGUAUCAUUUAAAAGAAUUUAUAAUUAUCCAAAAAAAUGUCGAUUGAGGAA